AUGCCACCUGUGCGACUUGGGAUCCAACCUCCCCGCACCAGCCCCAGUCCAGGUACCUGGAACUUAGUCCGAUCGGUAACCGGCGACUACGUGGGGUACAGGUACCCGAGCGCGCCCCCGACCGACGCACCGACCUGCGCGCGCGCCGCGGGCCGGAUGCGUGCGCACUCCCCGGACGUCCCGCCCCGCCCCCUCUGCGCCCUGGAGCAGGGCAGCGUGCGCGCCCCCGCGCCGCGCGGAGCCGGGCACUCAGAAAGGCGUCCCAGUAGUGCCUGACAGUUCUUCCUCAGCGCCUGCCCCGUGCGUGGCUAAGAGCGCGGAGUCUCGCCAUAUUAGAAGGGCUCUGUUACGUGAGGCUGUGCACGGAAACUAUUCCGGGAAGAAGAGGGGUACUUGGUGGGCGGGGUAAUUUCGGGCAGUCAGGUGGGCGACCCGCGUAGGCGUGUGAAAAGCCCGCGUCGUUAGGGAGGGCAGGAGCGGCGUCUCUGGUUACUGGAUCGGGCAAAGGGCAGAGGUCAGCGUCCAGGUUGGACAGCAGCACCUUUGAGCGAUGGCGGCGUCUGGGGAACCCCGGAAGCAGUGGCAGGAGGAGGUGGCGGCGGUGGUAGUGGUGGGCUCCUGCAUGACCGACCUGGUCAGGUUAGUCCGGGGCCAGUACUCAGUCUGCGGCUCGGGGGAGGAGUAGAGCCGUGCGCUCUGCGCCCAGCGGAGCUCUUGGGCGCUGGGUCUCCAGGGAUGGACAGUGCUAGCUUUGGGUAUGAGCUGCAGGUUUUCGCAGCCCUCAGCCUGCCUUCCCGGCGUGGAAGAAUUUGAGUCUGUAAAGGUAAAUGUCAGGGGAGAGCACAUAAGAGGCCAGGGUUUAGUGAAAGCUCUAACAUUACUAAAAGCGCCCCCCACAAAAGACCUACCCUCCAAAGACUUGCGCCCCCAAAGACCUUUCUUGGCCCGGCUGCUGAGCCUUUCCCCAAAUGAGCCAGGGGACUUUGCCCACGUCAUUUUAUCUCCGAGAAUGUGCCUACCUCAUAGGGAUAUUGUGAGGACUAGAUGUAGUAAAGUGUUUCGUCAAGC